GCGCGGUUAGUGUAGUGGUCUAACACGUCCACACAGCAUGUGGAAAAUCCUAGGUUCGAAUCCUAGACUGCGCA
rnacentral:tRNA from 2 species